rnacentral:rRNA from 1 species
GGAGGAUCCGAGCGUUAUCCGGAUUUAUUGGGUUUAAAGGGAGCGUAGGCGGACGCUUAAGUCAGUUGUGAAAGUUUGCGGCUCAACCGUAAAAUUGCAGUUGAUACUGGGUGUCUUGAGUACAGUAGAGGCAGGCGGAAUUCGUGGUGUAGCGGUGAAAUGCUUAGAUAUCACGAAGAACUCCGAUUGCGAAGGCAGCCUGCUGGACUGUAACUGACGCUGAUGCUCGAAAGUGUGGGUAUCAAACAGGAUUAGAUACCCUGGUAGUCCACACAGUAAACGAUGAAUACUCGCUGUUUGCGAUAUACAGUAAGCGGCCAGGCGAAAGCGUUAAGUAUUCCACCUGGGGAGUACGCCGGCAACGGUG